CGUCCUAUGCCAGUACAAGCACUUCUGAGUCUCAAACAUCAGGACCUACAAGUAAGCAAUGCUGUAUUUUAUGUAGUUGUUUAAACACGUUGUUAGAAACAUUUUAACAUUUUUCUGCUGUUGUUUAUUGUAAUAAUCAAUGCUACAUGUAUUUCAAAUCACCUUCUGUCAUGUGUUCAGUAAUAUUAACAGUGUGUACUGUGUUACAGCACUUAUGUGAUGUUUGUUAGAAAUUGGUGUAAUAACAUUUAAUGCAAUUCAGAAUUUCAUUGUAUGAGAAAAAUGUUAUAUGAAUGUCGACAAAUAUUAAUAAAAGUGUCUUCUGUCUCUUCAUUGAUCAAAAAAUUUCCAGCAGCCACAACAAACUAUCCUUCAUCUCAAACACCAACUUCAACCAGUGCAACGGCAAACUCUACUUCAACUGCAUCUCCAACAUCAACUCAAACAACGUCCCCUGCCAGUACUUCUGAAACAUCAGGACCUACUAGUAAGCAAUGCUUUAUUUUAUGUAGUUGUUUAAACGCUUUAUUAGAAACAUUUUACAAGUUUGCAAUUCUUGCAAAUAUUCUGCAAGUUCUGCAGAUAUUUAUUCUAAUAAUCAUACCUUCAUAUAUUUCAAAUCACCUCCCAUCAUGCACCAGCACCUUUAGUAAUACGAACAAUGUUUACUGCUAA
rnacentral:lncRNA from 1 species